rnacentral:misc_RNA from 1 species
AGGGGAUGAAGCUGAUGAAGGGGUAAAUGCUUUGCAUUAAUUCAAUCUACAAAUAUCAUUAUAUGUCCUUAGUAUUUUAUUCCAUCUUUAGUUCUGGGAUCCUUUCAUACUGAUUUUCAAUGAACGGAAAUGGUUAUUGUGCUAUGCUAUUAGUUGCUAAGUUGUCAUUGCUUGGCAUGUUCAUUUGAUAAUUGGCUAUAUGGUACAGCAGGGUUAUAAAUUUGAGAUCUUAAUAUUGAUGCAAAAUUGAGGGAAAAUGCUUGUUAUUGGAAUUAUGAAUUGAAUAAAUUGUAAAGUUCAUCUGUAAGAAAUGGUAAAAUAGAAUUGAUUUCUGGAUUUAUCAUUGAUGCGUAUGCCUUUCCUUGAAGCAUGACAUAUUUAGAUCAUUUAGGCUUAGGCUAUUUGUUUCUGUUUACCAGUGGCAUAACUCACUCAAAUGCUUCUUUUUU